rnacentral:SRP_RNA from 1 species
AGCUUUCAAAGGAGAUAUCAGAGCUCAAAAAAGUGGAAGGAGCUUCAAGAAAACUGGAAUCUUUAUCUACCAUGAAGGCUGUUGCGAAGAACGAUGAAGAUAGCCAACAAAUAACAGAACCAAC